rnacentral:rRNA from 1 species
AUUGAACGCUGGCGGCAGGCCUAACACAUGCAAGUCGAACGAGUGGCGGACGGGUGCGUAAUGUCUGGGAAACUGCCCGAUGGAGGGGGAUAACUACUGGAAACGGUAGCUAAUACCGCAUACCAUCGGAUGUGCCCAGAUGGGAUUAGCUAGUAGGUAGGUUAAUGGCUCACCUAGGCGACGAUCCCUAGCUGGUCUGAGCGGAUGACCAGCCACACGGGAACUGAGAAACGGUCCAGACUCGUCCGGGAGGCAGCAGUGGGGAAUAUUGCACAAUGGGCGCAAGCCUGAUACAGCCAGGCCGCGGGUAUGAAGAAGGCCUUCGGGUUGUAAAGUACUUUCAGCGAGGAGGCGUUACUCGCAGAAGAAGCACCGGCUAACUCCGUGCCAGCAGCCGCGGUAAUUC